ACUCAAAUGAAUUGACGGGGACCCGCACAACCGGUGGAGCGUGUGGUUCAAUUCGAGACAAAGCGAAAAACCUUACCAGGGCUUGACAUGUAAUCGUUUUAUACCUUUGGAAACUUAGGUAGAUCCGCAAGGAUGAUUACACAGGUGCUGCAUGGUUGUCGUCAGUUCGUGCCGUGAGGUGUUCCCUUAAGUGGGGAAACGAACGCAACCCCUGUGAAAUGUUACAUAUUCAUUUCAGACGGUCCCGAUUUUAUCGGGAAGGAAGGCGGGGCAGAUGUCAAAUCAGCACGGCCCUUAUGCCCUGGGUCACACACACCCUACAAUGGCGAAAAACAACGUGUUGCAAGCUAGCAAUAGCAAGCUAAUCACUCAAAUUUCGCCUCAGUUCAGAUUGGAGUCUGCAACCCGACUCCAUGAAGUCGGAAUCGGUAGUAAUCGCGAAUCAGCAGGUCGCGGUGAAUACGUUCUCGGGUCUUGUACACACCGCCCGU
rnacentral:rRNA from 1 species